rnacentral:rRNA from 1 species
AGCGGCGAAAGGGAUAGUAACACGUAGAUCACGUGCCCUCGGGUCAGGGAUAGCGUCGGGAAACUGACGGUAAUACCAGAUAAUGUCUCCGGACCAAAGAUUUAUUGCCCGAGGAGCGGUCUGCGUCCUAUUAGCUAGUUGGUGGGGUAAUAGCCUACCAAGGCGAAGAUGGGUAGCGGGUGUGGGAGCACGACCCGCAUCACUGGGACUGAGAUACUGCCCAGACACCUACGGGUGGCUGCAGUCGAGAAUCUUCCGCAAUGGACGAAAGUCUGACGGAGCGACGCCGCGUGCGGGAUGAAGGCCCUCGGGUUGUAAACCGCUGUCGUAGGGGAGCAAAUUUUGAGCGAUCCUAGGAGGAAGCACCGGCUAAACUCGUGCCAGCAGCCGCGGUAAUACGAGUGGUGCAAACGUUAUUCGGAAUCACUGGGCUUAAAGGGUGCGUAGGCGGCCAUGAAGGUCUGAUGUGAAAUACCACGGCUCAACCGUGGAAUGGCAUUGGAAACCACAUGGCUGGAGUGAGACAGAGGUGAGCGGAACAGAUGGUGGAGCGGUGAAAUGCGUUGAUAUCAUCUGGAACACCGGUGGCGAAAGCGGCUCACUGGGUCUUUACUGACGCUGAGGCACGAAAGCCAGGGGAGCAAACGGGAUUAGAUACCCCGGUAGUCCUGGCUGUAAACGAUGAGUACUAGUCCGAGGG